GACUAUCACCAUCAAGUCACCCGAUACUGAUGUUGCCGUGCUAGCAGUUGCGUUCAGCCACUCCAUUCCAGCACCUCUCUACUUCAUGACAGGAACCGGUGUAAAGACUCGCUACAUCCUGAUGAAUGCUAUCAGCGAGAAGUUGGGCCAAGCUGUUUGUGAUGCUCUACCUGGCUUUCAUGCUUUUACGGGCUGUGACACAACAAGUGCCUUUGCAGGCAGAGGCAAGAAAGGUGCCUUCAAGCUUCUGUGCAACAACUCCCCGGAGAGUGCAGCUGCCCGCUUGGCCUUCAGUACUUUGGGUGCAGCUUUUACACCACUUGCCACCGAUGUCAUCGACGCCCUAGAGAAGUUUGUCUGCAUCAUGUACAACACCACGUGUUCCCGGGUCAAUGAUGCCAGGUACCAGCUGUUUUGCACAAGGAGUCUGCAAUCCAACCAACUGCCACCCUGCAAUGACGCCCUUCUAAAGCACUGCUGCCGCUCCAAUUACCAAGCUGGUAUUUGGAAGCGAUGCCUCUUGUCACAUGUGGAUGCACCAUCACCGAAUGAGAAAGAACAAGGCUGGCACCUAGAAAGCAAUGGGACAUUGGCAGUUGACUGGUUAAGCCUGCCACCUGCUCCAAAGUCAAUCCUAGAGUUCCUCCGGUGCGGGUGCAAAACUGGUUGCAGCAGUGGCAACUGUUCGUGCCGCCGGCAUAUGCUGUUGUGUACAGAUGCUUGCACCUGUCGGCACCACUCUUCAGUAGUAUGCACAAACUACCCAGAGCAGCAUGCAGCAUUGCCUACGACCCAACACAUCUCACCUGAAACUGAUUUGGUCUGCAGUGACACAGCUCAUGACUGAUAGCAGCCAGCCAACCGUAAGGAUUCGGGACUGACAAACUUGUUGAGCAAUCAUGUGCAUGAUGGAUAGCAGCCAGCUCUAGAGUGUCCCACCACCUCUGGGAUAUCUUGCAACAAAUCUUAUGACAGAUCUGUGUCAGCAUCAGUGGAUGCCGGAACUGUCUUUCUUUGGCCGACAACCGCAUCCCGCAGCACGGGUGAUAGCACAUCUUCUUCUUAUCAUAUUAUCUACAUGACUGUAAUAUUGUCAUUAUAAUUUAACCUGUA